AGUGAACGCUGGCGGCGUGCCUAAUACAUGCAAGUCGAACGGAGUGGCGCACGGGUGAGUGAUAUAUAGCUAAUCUGCCCCUUGCUGGGGGACAACAGUUAGAAAUGACUGCUAAUACUCCAUAGCAAGGGAUGAGACUAUAUCGUAUCAGCUAGUCGGUGGGGUAACGGCCUACCGAGGCUAUGACGCGUAACGGGUCUGAGAGGAUGAUCAGUAAAAUUGGAACUGAGGCACGGUCCGAGCACAUACGGGAAGCAGCAGUAGGGAAUAGUGCGCAAGGGGGGAAACCCUGAAGGAGCAACGCCGCGUGGAGGAUGACACUUUUCGGAGCGUAAACUCCGUUUGUUAGGGAAGCGGUACCUAACGAAUAAGCACCGGCUAACUCCGUGCCAGCAGCCGCGGUAAUUC
rnacentral:rRNA from 1 species